UACGAAGGGUGCAAGCGUUACUCGGAAUUACUGGGCGUAAAGGGCGCGUAGGCGGCGCGGUAAGUCACUUGUGAAAUCUCUGAGCUUAACUCAGAACGGCCAAGUGAUACUGCAGUGCUAGAGUGUGGAAGGGGCAAUCGGAAUUCUUGGUGUAGCGGUGGAAUGCGUAGAUAUCAAGAGGAACACCUGAGGUGAAGACGGGUUGCUGGGCCAACACUGACGCUGAGGCGCGAAAGCCAGGGGAGCAAACGGG
rnacentral:rRNA from 1 species